UACGGAGGGUGCGAGCGUUGUUCGGAAUCACUGGGCGUAAAGCGCGUGUAGGCGGCCCAUUAAGUCUGAUGUGAAAGCCCGGGGCUCACCCCCGGAAGUGCAUUGGAAACUGAUGGGCUGGAGUCCCGGAGAGGAGGGUGGAAUUCCUGGUGUAGCGGUGAAAUGCGUAGAUAUCGAGAGGAACACCUGCGGCGAAGGCGGGUUGCUGGGCUGACACGUGACGCUGGACAGCGCGAAAGCUAGGGGAGCGAACGGG
rnacentral:rRNA from 1 species